rnacentral:snoRNA from 1 species
ACAAGAGAGGCUUGAUGUGACUGCUGUGUCAUGUGUGUCAUUAGGUGGCAGAGACAAGAGAGGCUUGUCUACAUCCAGUGCUCUGAGCUGUGAGCCACUGGGUGAUUGAUAGUCUGACACU